CUGUGCCUCCUGAUGGCUGAGUGUUCACCUGGACCUUCUGACCACCUUCCUUGUACUGUUCCAUCAGCCUAUAGAUCUGGUACCUGGAUUUUUGCCCAUGGUGAUUCCUUCACCUUACUGCUGAAGAAGAACCAUUCCAGUGGACCACGGUGAUCCAAGAGGCAUUCAACCAUCAUGAUGUGGCCUUCACCUCCACUCCUGUCCUGUUCUACCCAGAUUCAGCACAGCCCUUUA
rnacentral:lncRNA from 1 species